rnacentral:rRNA from 1 species
UACGGAGGUGGCAAGCGUUGUUCGGAAUUACUGGGCGUAAAGGGCGCGUAGGCGGCCGGACAAGUCGGAUGUGAAAGCCCCAGGCUUAACCUGGGAAUUGCAUCCGAAACUGUUUGGCUUGAGUUCUGGAGGGGGUAGUGGAAUUCCCAGUGUAGCGGUGAAAUGCGUAGAUAUUGGGAGGAACACCUGCGGCGAAGGCGGCUACCUGGACAGAAACUGACGCUGAGGCGCGAAAGCUAGGGGAG